rnacentral:rRNA from 1 species
AUUGAACGCUGGCGGCAUGCCUUACACAUGCAAGUCGAACGGCAGCACGGGGGCAACCCUGGUGGCGAGUGGCGGACGGGUGAGUAAUGCAUCGGAACGUGCCCUGAAGUGGGGGAUAACGCAGCGAAAGCUACGCUAAUACCGCAUAUUCUGUGAGCAGGAAAGCAGGGGAUCGCAAGACCUUGCGCUUUGGGAGCGGCCGAUGUCGGAUUAGCUAGUUGGUGGGUAAAGGCCUACCAAGGCGACGAUCCGUAGCGGGUCUGAGAGGAUGAUCCGCCACACUGGGACUGAGACACGGCCCAGACUCCUACGGGAGGCAGCAGUGGGGAAUUUUGGACAAUGGCGAAGCCUGAUCCAGCCAUGCCGCGUGAGUGAAGAAGGCC